UGCAUCGGCCGGGAAUCGAACCCGGGACGUGGCAGGCGAGCAUUCUACCACUGAACCAAAAGC
rnacentral:tRNA from 1 species